rnacentral:rRNA from 1 species
ACGAACGCUGGCGGCGUGCUUAACACAUGCAAGUCGUACGGUAAGGCCCUUUCGGGGGUACACGAGUGGCGAACGGGUGAGUAACACGUGAGUAACCUGCCCACAACUUUGGGAUAACGCUAGGAAACUGGUGCUAAUACUGGAUAUGUGCUCCUGCUGCAUGGUGGGGGUUGGAAAGCUCCGGCGGUUGUGGAUGGACUCGCGGCCUAUCAGCUUGUUGGUGGGGUAGUGGCCUACCAAGGCGGCGACGGGUAGCCGGCCUGAGAGGGUGACCGGCCACAUUGGGACUGAGAUACGGCCCAGACUCCUACGGGAGGCAGCAGUGGGGAAUAUUGCACAAUGGGCGCAAGCCUGAUGCAGCAACGCCGCGUGCGGGAUGACGGCCUUUGGGUUGUAAACCGCUUUCAGCAGGGACGAAGCUUUUUGUGACGGUACCUGCAGAAGAAGCACCGGCUAACUACGUG